AGCCCCAUAGUUCAGUGGUCAAGAACGCGAGACUCUGGAUCUCGUAACCCAGGUUCGAAUCCUGGUGGGGCUA
rnacentral:tRNA from 1 species